GACAGAGGUUGCAAACGUUGUUCGGAAUCACUGGGCAUAAAGGGCGCGUAGGCGGCCCGCUAAGUCGAACGUGAAAUCCCCAGGCUCAACCUGGGAACUGCGUCCGAUACUGGCAGGCUUGAAUCCGGGAGAGGGAUGUGGAAUUCCAGGUGUAGCGGUGAAAUGCGUAGAUAUCUGGAGGAACACCGGUGGCGAAGGCGGCAUCCUGGACCGGUAUUGACGCUGAGGCGCGAAAGCUAGGGGAGCAAACGGG
rnacentral:rRNA from 1 species